GGGGGAUAUUGCACAAUGGAGGAAACUCUGAUGCAGCAACGCCGCGUGAGGGAAGAAGGUCUUCGGAUUGUAAACCUUUGUCCUUGGUGACGAAACAAAUGACGGUAGCCAAGGAGGAAGCCACGGCUAACUACGUGCCAGCAGCCGCGGUAAUACGUAGGUGGCGAGCGUUGUCCGGAUUUACUGGGUGUAAAGGGUGCGUAGGCGGCUCUGCAAGUCAGGCGUGAAAACUAUGGGCUUAACCCAUAGACUGCGUUUGAAACUGUGGGGCUUGAGUGAAGUAGAGGUAGGCGGAAUUCCCGGUGUAGCGGUGAAAUGCGUAGAGAUCGGGAGGAACACCAGUGGCGAAGGCGGCCUACUGGGCUUUAACUGACGCUGAAGCACGAAAGCAUGGGUAGCAAAC
rnacentral:rRNA from 1 species